rnacentral:rRNA from 1 species
GGCGAACGCUGGCGGCAUGCCUAAUACAUGCAAGUCGAGCGAACAGAUGAAGUGCUUGCACUUCUGACGUUAGCGGCGAACGGGUGAGUAACACGUAAGGAAUCUACCUAUAAGCGGGGGAUAACAUUCGGAAACGGGUGCUAAUACCGCAUAAUAUCUUCUUCCGCAUGGAAGAAGAUUGAAAGACGGCUCUGCUGUCACUUAUAGAUGACCUUGCGGUGCAUUAGUUAGUUGGGGGGGUAACGGCCUACCAAGACGAUGGUGCAUAGCCGACCUGAGAGGGUGAUCGGCCACAUUGGGACUGGGACACGGCACAAACUCCUACGGGAGGCAGCAGUAGGGAACCUUCCGCAAUGGGCGAAAGCCUGACGGAGCAAUGCCGCGUGAGUGAAGAAGGCCUUCGGGUCGUAAAACUCUGUUAUAAGAGAAGAACAAAUUGUAGAGUAACUGCUACAGUCUUGACGGUAUCUUAUCAGAAAGCCACGGCUAACUACGUGCCAGCCGCCGCCGUAA